rfam:Hordeum vulgare subsp. vulgare, WGS project CAJW01000000 data, contig: morex_contig_2549900
GAAAUACUCCCUCCGUCCCAAAAUUCUUGUCUUAGAUUUUUCUAGAUAUGAAUGCAUCUAGAUAUUAAAACUUGACUAAAUACAUUCAUAUGUAGACAAAUCCAAGGCAAUAAUUUUGGGACGGGGGGAGUAUAAU